UAGCAUGGGUGAGGCCCUGGGUUAAAUCCCCAGCACCACAUAAAAAUAAAUAAGUAAAAUAAAGGUAUUGUGUCCAACUACAACUAAAAAAUAAAUGUUAAAAAAAUCUUGCUAUUUAUUUUAUCAUUGGUGUCAAAUCUGAAGAACCUUUCAUGUAAGAAUGCCAUUAAAGCUGAAAUUCCAAAAACCCUUGGCUUUCUACAUACCUGGCCCCAUGGCACUUUACAAUCUUAGUGCUCAUUGAAUUUUUUUUUUUUUUUUAGAUACUGGGGAUUGAAUUCAGGGCCUGACACAUGGUAGGCAAGCACUCUACCACUGAACUCCAUCCCCAGCCCCCUAAAGGCUUCUUAGGACUAUACCCUCUUAUCAGUUCUCACAACUUCUUUUCUGAUUUAUACAAGGAAAAAUUCUGGUAGAAAAAUUCUUCUAGGUUACUUGGAAACAGUUUUCUUAUAAAAAGAGUAGUGUUACUUUAGGGACUUGUUCAAAAGUAGAAGGCAGAGUGUAAGGAUAACCCCAUGCCCCCAACACACACACCCCAAGAUAGCUUGCCAUAAGUUCUUCAACUAAAAAUAAUCCCACUGUAGGAUUUGCUUAGUCCUGGCAGGUUAAAGCACCAGCAAUAUGAGUGUAAUUCUCCCCAGGAGAUUUUCUUCUAAUAACCCCAGAGGGCAG
rnacentral:lncRNA from 1 species